rnacentral:rRNA from 1 species
UAGCGGCGCGAAUCCCCCUGAUGCCAGCCGCCGCGGUAUACAGAGGGUGCGAGCGUUAAUCGGAUUUACUUGGGCGUAAAGCGCGCGUAGGUGGCUAGUCAAGUCAAGAUGUGAAAUCCCCGGAGCUUAACUUGCGGAAUUGCAUUCGAUACUGGUCAGCUAGAGUAUGGGAGAGGAUGAGUAGAAUUCCAGGUGUAGCGGUGAAAUGCGUAGAGAUCUGGAGGAAUACCGAUGGCGAAGGCAGCCAUCUGGCCUAAUACUGACACUGAGGUGCGAAAGCAUGGGGAGCAAACAGGAUUAGAUACCCUGGUAGUCCAUGCCGUAAACGAUGUCUACUAGCCGUUGGGGCCUUUGAGGCUUUACUGGCGCGGCUAACGCGAUUAGUAGACCGCCUGGGGAGUACGGUCGCAAGACUAUAACUCACAUGAGUUGACGGGGGCCCGCACAAGCGGUGGAGCAUGUGG